AUGAUGGUCGCGUACACGACGAAGAGGAGGGAGAAGGCGAGGGAGGAGGCCAGCAGCUGGGCCGCCACGUACAGCACGGCCCUGAACGCCGUGAUGUGCCCGCGCGCCAGCAGCGCCACCGUCACCGCCGGGUUGAGGUGCCCGCCCGACACGUGGAAGCCCGCCGUCACCAGCACCCCCGCCGCCAGCGCCUGCGCGAGGGCAACCCCGGCCAACGUCGCCAUCGGCAUAGCCGCGCCUUGCAGCUCCGGCACCCCUGCAAAUCAAUCGAUCAAUCAUGAGUACCACUGCUCCCUCACCUCACGGCGUGUCACAUGGUCGAGAAGCGAAUCGAAUGGAGGAGGAGAACACGUGUCGUUUGUAGGUAGCAUCGCCGGAAAAGAAAAUUGA
rnacentral:rRNA from 1 species